rnacentral:pre_miRNA from 1 species
ACAACAGUCGGACCGUCGGUCUACCGAGCAAUAUUAUCCGCUCGGUGGAAGAUCUUUCCUCCAUAGU